rnacentral:lncRNA from 1 species
AUAAAAUUUAAUAAAAUUUAUUUUUAAAUAUACGUUAGAUUAAAAAAAAAAAAUUACUGCACAUGGUGCAGAAAAAAACAUAGUAUAUUUCCUUAUAUCUUAAGUUUUUCAAAUUCAUACAUCUCCUGAAAUUUUGAUACCAUAUAUAUCAGAUGAUUUGGUAUUUUUUGUCAAAUCAUUACGUCGCACUCAAACUCAUCACGCACUCAAACUCAUCAACAAGACCAUAUACGCACU